UGAAAGUUCUUAACUAAGUCUCUUAACCAAAUUUACUAUUUAAAUAGUAUUAAAAAUUAAUUGGGAGACCCUUAACGGGUCUUUAGGAUAAUGAUGCUUAUAAGUUCAUGGUGUAUAUACCAUGCCUGUAGUAUUCAAAUUCUAUCAAUACGAAAGACAAUAAAUAUAUAUAUUCAACUCUAUUUUUUUAUGAAAACCCUUUAUAAAAAAAACUAUAUUUUAUAAAAAAACUAUUAGACAUGUUUAUAACCUGGGUUUUUUAUGUUCUUUCUCCAUUACUACUUUGCUUCAUAUGAUAUUUUACAUACGUAAACAAGUAAUUAGCUAACAAAAUUUAACAUAUCCGAUGUGUAGACAUAUAUUUUUUAUAAUUUACAAUAAGAACAAACAAAAAAAGGUUAAUUAGCAGCAGGCGAAUUAAGCAUUACCCAAGCGCAGUAGGGAUUUAACUGUAUUGUCAAUGACAAUUUGUCAUCAUUAAAGUUGAAUUGAAGUGAUUAAUAAGCAUCUUUUAAUCUUUUAUUGGAUUAUCUAAUACUUACGUUGCUUAAUAGCAGUAACUAAAGAUCUAAAAACCUUAGAAUAAACAUCAAUCAUUGGACAAUUGCAUAAAUUUUCGUUUUCUGUCACAAACUUAAGUACAAGUAUACUUAGGAAUUUCGUGUUAUUUAGCGCGGUUUGACUUUCACGUACGUAUUGUUAACCAUAUAACUUCAAGCAAGUAACUAUUUAUUAAAUAUAACUGGGGCUCGUCAUGCAGCCAGCACAACAUUGACUUUACAAUAUCUAUACAGUAAGACCAUGUUUAUCGCAGAACCUAAAGGGUUUCUUAGUGUUAAUUGUUGAAUUAAUUAAAUCCAAAGAAAAGAAAAACCAAGAUUACCGAUCCUUACUGGAGGGUUUUGGGAAUCGGUUUUAUGGUGGUUUUUCAAACACGUGGCAGCACCACAAUUUAUCUUUUUUUUUCCAUUUCUUUUCUCUCUCUUUCUUGGUUUUUUGCAUUUUCGUUUCAUUCUUGUUUUCUCCGAGAGACGAGAAAGAGAAGAUCGAAACCGACGAAAGACGACGACUCCGUCGGUCCCGUCGACGUCUCCGUUUUCUCCGUCAGAAGAUUGAUCGGAAGCCACCACAGAGGACGAUUUGCGCUCUCCUCACCGCUUCUCCUCCGUCUUCUCUCGAGUUAUCCGUCAGAAGACCGAUCGAGAGCAUGCACAAACGAAGACGACUCUCUCGUUCCUCACGGCGACUCCUUCCUCUUGAACUCGAUAGGUGUGUGCUUUCUCUUGAUUCUAUUUUCAUCUCUGAAACUACUCUCUGAAGAAUUGGGGAUGAAAGCUUCGUGAUGGACUACGAAACGUUUGAUAGCAGCAGGUUUACGCAAGUUGUGCACUUUCUCAGAUUGAGCAGGAAGCAUACAUAUCUAUCAUUAGUUAGUUGGGUACUUCAAUGAAUCUCAGGAAAAGGACAGUCUUAUACCAGAACUGCGUAAAGAGUUGAAAGUGUCAAACGAGGACAUUGAGAGCUUCUCCGUCUGAUCCGUGUGUCUCUCAGCUAUCGCUCACGAUCUCUUCAAACUGAGAAACAGAAGUUGUGAUAUGAAGCAAGCCACAAGAUUCUUAUUGAAGUCAGAAGAAGCAAGAGAAGUCACGGGUGUGUAUGUUUGUAUGUCUGUAUUAGUCACAAGUUUGUCACGAGUCUGUAUGUCUGUAUUAGUCAAGAGUGUGUCAAGUUUGUCACGGGUCUUUGGUAUGUUUGUCACGAGAGUGCUUUACUUCUCUCCUUUUCUAUAUAAGUCACAAGUUUUGUAUACAAAAUUCGCAAGUUUACUUCUCUCCUUUUCUAAAUAUAUCAAAGUCUCAUUCGCAAAACACUCUUUUUCGUCAUCUUCUACUUGAUCAUCUCCUUUGCCAAAACACUCUUUCUCAUCAUCAUAUCUUCUACUUAAUCAUCUCAUUCGCCAAAUACACUCGUUUCAAAAAAAAAAAAUCAAAACACAUUUUA